CUUAGAGUUUGAUCAUGGCUCAGAAUGAACGCUGGCGGCAGGCCUAACACAUGCAAGUCGAGCGGAAGAGAAGAGCUUGCUCCUCGAUUCAGCGGCGGACGGGUGAGUAAUACCUAGGAAUCUGCCUGGUAGUGGGGGACAACGUUUCGAAAGGAACGCUAAUACCGCAUACGUCCUACGGGAGAAAGCAGGGGACCUUCGGGCCUUGCGCUAUCAGAUGAGCCUAGGUCGGAUUAGCUAGUUGGUGAGGUAAUGGCUCACCAAGGCUACGAUCCGUAACUGGUCUGAGAGGAUGAUCAGUCACACUGGAACUGAGACACGGUCCAGACUCCUACGGGAGGCAGCAGUGGGGAAUAUUGGACAAUGGGCGA
rnacentral:rRNA from 1 species